GAUAAACGCUGGCGGCGUGCCUAACACAUGCAAGUCGAACGCUCUCGCGGGCAACCGCGAGGGAGUGGCGGACGGGUGAGGAACACGUGGAUAUCUGCCUCCGGGUGGGGGAUACCACCGGGAAACCGGUGACAAGACCCCAUAGCCUUGGGUCACCAAGGAAAGCCCUUCCGCAAGGGAGGGCGCCGGGAGAUGAGUCUGCGUCCGAUUAGCUGGUCGGUGGGGUAAUGGCCUACCGAGGCGACGAUCGGUAGCUGGUCUGAGAGGACGAUCAGCCACACUGGGAUUGAGAACGGCCCAGACUCCUACGGGGGGCAGCAGUGAGGAAUUUUCCGCAAUGGACGCAAGUCUGACGGAGCAACGCCGCGUGCAGGAGGACGGCCUUCGGGUUGUAAACUGCUUUUCUCAGGGACGAGCAAGGACGGUACCUGAGGAAGAAGCCCCGGCUAACUACGUGCCAGCAGCCGCGGUAAUACGUAGGGGGCGAGCGUUGUCCGGAUUUAUUGGGCGUAAAGCGUCCGCAGGCGGUGCGACAAGUUCGAGGUGACAGUGCGCGGCUUCACUGCGCAAGGUCCUCGAAAACUGCCACACUUGAGGGCUUCAGAGGGACCUGGAAUUCCGGGUGGAGUGGUGAAAUGCGUAGAGAUCCGGAGGAACACCAAAGGCGCAGGCAGGGUCCUGGGAAGCCGCUGACGCUCAUGGACGAAAGCUAGGGGAGCGAACGGGAUUAGAUACCCCGGUAGUCCUAGCCGUAAACGAUGACCACUAGACGUGGGAGGUAUCGACCCCUUCCGUGUCGCCGCUAACGCAGUAAGUGGUCCGCCUGGGGAGUACGGUCGCAAGAUUA
rnacentral:rRNA from 1 species